UGCGUAGGUGGCAAGCGUUGUCCGGAUUUACUGGGCGUAAAGAGCGCGCAGGCGGUCGUUCAAGUCGCGUGUGAAAGCCCCCGGCUCAACCGGGGAGGGUCACGCGAUACUGAUCGACUCGAAGGCAGGAGAGGGUAGUGGAAUUCCCGGUGUAGUGGUGAAAUGCGUAGAUAUCGGGAGGAACACCAGUGGCGAAGGCGACUACCUGGCCUGUUUCUUGACGCUGAGGCGCGAAAGCUAGGGGAGCAAACGGG
rnacentral:rRNA from 1 species